AUGUGUAAGGAUUUUCGAGCGAGAUCGUUGCCAGUGCCCCUGGACUGGCUCUUGUGCGGGUGGCACAUAAAAUACACCAUUUUGAGCGUGGCCGUUGCCAGUACCGCCUGACUGGCCUUCGUGCGGGUGACACGUAAAAGCGCCCACUACACUCUCUGAGUGGUUGGCGUUAGGAAGGGCAUCCAGCUGUAGAAACUGGCAAAUCAGAUUGGAGCCUGGUGUUGCCAUCCGGUUUCACCAGUCCUCAGUCAAAUCGUCCAACCCAUGCUAGCAUGGAAAGCGGACGUUAAACGAUGAUGAUGAUUAUAUAUUAUUUGGAUGUCCGUCCAAGCGGUAUUAAUUGAGUCCUCAAUCCUGGUCGCAGUUAUAUCUGUCACUUCAGAAUAUAGCCUGUCAUUGCUUAAAUGUUCUAGUGCCAGUCUAUCAUAUAUUUCACAAGAAAUAAGGCAGAUUUCUUUUCCUUUAUCUGAUGAAGCUGGUCCACAGGAUUUAUUAAGAAAACUUCAUGGGCAACAAAGUAUAAAUUUAUACAAUAAUGUAAUAGGAAAUAAAACUCAGUAUGGAUUAUCAAAAACUUGGUAUGGGUCACUGGUGGUCCACCUGGACAACAUUGUGCAUCAUCAAGAUAGGAUCAAUACAUAGAAAAUCAUGAGAAAGAAACUGUAGCCAAAUCUCCCUCAAAUUCCCAUUUCAAAAAAUAGAGCAUAAUGAAUAAUGAACUCAUGGAUAUUAUACCAGAGAAAACAUAGUAUGUCAUGGCUCUGACCAUAGACAUGACCAGUUGGGGCUCCUGGGCCUAAACAACAACAACAACAACAACCACAACAGAAAACAAUGGUAGUAAUAGUUUAUAUCCUUUCAGUUUAAAGAUAGCAAUCAGUUUGUAGAAUCUCAGUGUACAAUCUGGUGUGCAAUCUUUAACUAAAACUGGAUAAUUAAAUAAAAGUAAAGGCUUACAUACCAUG